rnacentral:rRNA from 1 species
UACAGAGGUCCCAAGCGUUGUUCGGAUUCAUUGGGCGUAAAGGGUGUGUAGGUGGCGCCGUAAGUCGGGUGUGAAAUCUCGGGGCUUAACUCCGAAACUGCAUUCGAUACUGCGGUGCUUGAGGACUGGAGAGGAGACUGGAAUUCAUGGUGUAGCAGUGAAAUGCGUAGAGAUCAUGAGGAAGACCAGUGGCGAAGGCGGGUCUCUGGACAGUUCCU